UCCUCCGUGGCGCAAUUGGCUAGCGCGUCAGACUGUUAAGCGAUGGCCAAGAUCCGAGAUCUUGCUAUUCCUGAGCACAUCUGGAGGCUGUAAGUUCAAUCCUUACCGGAGGAG